rnacentral:rRNA from 1 species
UACAGAGGUCUCAAGCGUUGUUCGGAUUCAUUGGGCGUAAAGGGUGCGUAGGCGGCGCGGUAAGUCUGGUGUGAAAUCUCGGAGCUCAACUCCGAAAUUGCACUGGAUACUGCUCUGCUUGAGGACUGGAGAGGAGAUUGGAAUUCACGGUGUAGCAGUGAAAUGCGCAGAUAUCAGGAAGAACACCCGUGGCGAAGGCGGCUCUCUGGGACGGUACUGACGCUGAGACACGAAAGCGUGGGGAGCGAACAGG